GAUGAACGCUGGCGGCGUGCCUAAUACAUGCAAGUCGAGCGAACGGACGAGAAGCUUGCUUCUCUGAUGUUAGCGGCGGACGGGUGAGUAACACGUGGAUAACCUACCUAUAAGACUGGGAUAACUUCGGGAAACCGGAGCUAAUACCGGAUAAUAUUUUGAACCGCAUGGUUCAAAAGUGAAAGACGGUCUUGCUGUCACUUAUAGAUGGACCCGCGCUGCAUUAGUUAGUUGGUAAGGUAACGGCUUACCAAGGCAACGAUGCAUAGCCGACCGGAGAGGUGGAUCGGCCAACCGGGAACUGAGAAACGGCCCAGACCCCAAGGGGAGGCAGAAGUAGGGAAUCUGCCGCAAGGGGCGAAAGCCUGACGGAGCAACGCCGCGGGAGUGAUGAAGGUCUUCGGUUCGUAAAACUCUGUUAUUAGGGAAGAACAUAUGUGUAAGUAACUGUGCACAUCUUGACGGUACCUAAGCAGAAAGCCACGGCUACCUACGU
rnacentral:rRNA from 1 species